CACGAAUGUCACGCACCAGGCCUCUAGUUUAUAUAAGAUGUUCUUGGGGGCAAAGGUCAGAUUGCUGUCUGGCCCUCGUGAAUCUUCAGACACCUAAGGGGUCUCUGGUGCCCCCUGAGGACCCAGCACCGGCCACAGCACUAAGGCCUAUGCACACGCUUGCUGUUGGUGGGCUGGGGCCUGCCUGCGCCCGCUGUGGGAACUGCUGGGACCCAUGUCAAGGGUUAAAGAAAUGUGGACUCGGUCAUGAUGGAGUUGGCGGGGGGUUGGCCGGGGUGCCUGCCUGGGGCCCUGGUGGACACCGCUUGCACCACCUCGUCUUUCUCUCAGCUCACAAGGGCGCUGCCCUCCCCACAUGGUUCCUCUCCUUGUCCUUCACCAAAAGGUUGUUUUAAUUCUGGGGACGUGAUGAUUCAUGUCAGUGCUGUCACCUCCCUUGAUCAAAGAUUACUCAGCGAAGUGGGAGGUGCAGUGUCCACGACCUCCUGAGGGUCUGUCUGCUGGCUCAGCGGUGCCUGGUGGGUGGGGAGGAAUUUCACUGGAUGUCCAGGGGCAGCGGGACCGCCUGGGCCAAGGACGAGGGCACCCCUGGAGCCGGCCCGGGAGGAUCCCGUCACGCUGGGCAGAGGGGCCUGGCGGGGCCGGCAGGUGGUGUGACCCUGAGCAGCCCGUGGCUCCCUUCUGGCUUUGAAGUCCUCUCUCACGGUGGACAGUGGUUCCCGGUGUGUGUGUCCUAGAAGCAAUAAACCGGCCUUUUGUGUCCACGGCA